rnacentral:rRNA from 1 species
UACGUAGGGGGCUAGCGUUGUCCGGAAUCAUUGGGCGUAAAGAGCGUGUAGGCGGCUCGGUAAGUCCGCUGUGAAAGUCCAGGGCUCAACCCUGGAAUGCCAGUGGAAACUGUCGAGCUAGAGUCCGGAAGAGGCGAGUGGAAUUCCUGGUGUAGCGGUGAAAUGCGCAGAUAUCAGGAAGAACACCCGUGGCUAAGGCGGCUCUCUAGUACGGUACUGACGCUGAGACGCGAAAGCGUGGGGAGCGAACAGG